rnacentral:misc_RNA from 1 species
UGCUGGGGAGGUUGGUGAGA